rnacentral:rRNA from 1 species
AUUGAACGCUGGCGGCAGGCCUAACACAUGCAAGUCGAACGAGUGGCGGACGGGUGAGUAAUGUCUGGGAAACUGCCUGAUGGAGGGGGAUAACUACUGGAAACGGUAGCUAAUACCGCAUACCAUCGGAUGUGCCCAGAUGGGAGUAGCUAGUAGGUGGGGUAAAGGCUCACCUAGGCGACGAUCCCUAGCUGGUCUGAGAGGAUGACAAGCGGCACUGGAACUGAGCCACGGUCCAGACGCCUACGGGAGGGAGCAGUGUGGAAUAUUGCACAAUGGGCGCAAGCCUGAUGCAGCCAGGCCGCGUGUAUGAAGACGGCCUUCGGGUUGUAAAGUACUUUCAGCGGGGAGGCGUUACCCGCAGAAGAAGCACCGGCUAACUCCGUGCCAGCAGCCGCGGUAAUAC